UGGGGAAUAUUGCACAAUGGAGGGAACUCUGAUGCAGCGACGCCGCGUGAACGAAGAAGGCUUUCGAGUCGUAAAGUUCUUUUAUAUGGGAAGAUAAUGACGGUACCGGAAUAGAAAGCCACGGCUAACUACGUGCCAGCAGCCGCGGUAAUACGUAGGUGGCAAGCGUUGUCCGGAAUUAUUGGGCGUAAAGCGCGCGCAGGCGGACUAGCCAGUCAGUCUUAAAAGUUCGGGGCUUAACCCCGUGAUGGGAUUGAAACUACUAGUCUAGAGUAUCGGAGAGGAAAGUGGAAUUCCUAGUGUAGCGGUGAAAUGCGUAGAUAUUAGGAAGAACACCAGUGGCGAAGGCGACUUUCUGGACGAACACUGACGCUGAGGCGCGAAAGCCAGGGGAGCGAACGGG
rnacentral:rRNA from 1 species